rnacentral:misc_RNA from 1 species
UACGUAGGAGGCGAGCGUUAUCCGGAUUUAUUGGGCGUAAAGCGCGUGCAGGUGGUUUGGUAAGUUGGAUGUGAAAGCUCCGGGCUCAACCCGGAGAGGUCAUUCAAAACUGCUCAACUAGAGGACGAUAGAGGAAGGUGGAAUUCCGGGUGUAGUGGUGAAAUGCGUAGAUAUCCGGAGGAACACCAGUGGCGAAGGCGGCCUUCUGGGUCGUACCUGACGCUCAGACGCGAAAGCUAGGGUAGCGAACGGG